rnacentral:rRNA from 1 species
UGGGGAAUUUUGGACAAUGGGGGAAACCCUGAUCCAGCCAUCCCGCGUGUGCGAUGAAGGCAUUCGGGUUGUAAAGCACUUUUGGCAGGAAAGAAACGUCAUGGGUUAAUACCCCGUGAAACUGACGGUACCUGCAGAAUAAGCACCGGCUAACUACGUGCCAGCAGCCGCGGUAAUACGUAGGGUGCAAGCGUUAAUCGGAAUUACUGGGCGUAAAGAGUGCGCAGGCGGUUCGGAAAGAAAGAUGUGAAAUCCCAGAGCUCAACUUUGGAACUGCAUUUUUAACUACCGGGCUAGAGUGUGUCAGAGGGAGGUGGAAUUCCGCGUGUAGCAGUGAAAUGCGUAGAUAUGCGGAGGAACACCGAUGGCGAAGGCAGCCUCCUGGGAUAACACUGACGCUCAUGCACGAAAGCGUGGGGAGCAAACAGG